UACGGAGGGUGCAAGCGUUAUCCGGAUUUACUGGGUUUAAAGGGUGCGUAGGCGGGCAGGUAAGUCAGUGGUGAAAUCCCCGGGCUUAACUUGGGAACUGCCGUUGAUACUAUCUGUCUUGAAUAUCGUGGAGGUGAGCGGAAUAUGUCAUGUAGCGGUGAAAUGCUUAGAUAUGACAUAGAACACCCAUUGCGAAGGCAGCUCACUACACGAUAAUUGACGCUGAGGCACGAAAGCGUGGGGGAGCAAACAGG
rnacentral:rRNA from 1 species